rnacentral:lncRNA from 1 species
UAGGACCCAGUGUCACGACCAUGAACCUCUAAUGACAGAAUAAUAUCCUAAUACAAAGUCAGUCUAACAGUGAUAAUGCGAAAAUAAAGGAUAAAGAUAGAGGGGAGAAUCAUCGGCUGCGAGCCCCCUGCAGCUACCUCAAAUACUCCCGAAAGAAAUUCUGGAUCAGCUGGAAUCACUCAACCUGAGGCUGCCCUGGAUCUGCACACAAGGUGCAGGGAGUAAAGUGAAUACUUCCAACUAAGUGGUAAUAGACAUAACUAAAGUCUGAAGGUAAGAAAACACAGGAAAUGUAAAAUGUGCUCUAUAUCUAGCAGUUCAUAUCCAAAACAGUGGAAAUCGCACACAACUAAAUAAUACAGUUAAGGAAUAAUGCAUAAUAGAAUGCAACGCAUAUAAUGGUACAAUCCAGUACCCGCUGGGGCGUGCAGCGCGCUCCACUUAUUUAACGUCGACGGCGCUCACUAGGGGUGUGUACAGAUUCUGGAGGCGCUCCUACAACCCAAGCGCAAUUUCAGCAAGGUAUUGGCAUAAAACAGGCUCUCGGCCUUAAUAUCAAUAUAUAUAAUCGCUACGGCGUGUAUCCCGGUCCAUAUCAAGAAAACAUCCUCACUACAGGGUCCCCGACCCAUCUCAAUCAAACAAGCCCACCGCCAAUCGGGCAGGGCAUACUAUAGGGAUCUCAGCCCUCAUAUCCUUUUCAUUUAAGGUUCAUGUAUAAAAUACAGUUAUUAUAUUAUUUUUAAUAUUUAAAAACAUGACUGAGAAUUUAUGUUAUGCACACAAGUGAGAAAAAAACACAUAAAGAUCCCCUAAGGAUUCUGCAGGUCGGCACAAGGCCCCAAACACGGCAAUGAGCCUAAUUCACUAUAACAAAGUAUGCGUUUCAAUCGCCAAUAUAGUAGAACUUAACACUCGGGAUGGACUAAGUCUCAAUCCCCAAACAGUAUACGACCCCACAUCAUCGUGGAAUACGUGCCACGCCCCAAUAUAUCAUUACGAUGUGAAAGUGUGGGGUUUUAAACCCAAAAAAAUAUAAAAAUCCCCUAAAUGUUCUACAGGUCAGUACAAGGCCCCAAUCACGGCAAUAAGCUCAAUUCACAAUAACAAGGUAUGAGUUUCAGUCGCAAAUAUAGUAGAAAUACUCAGGAUGGACUAAGUCUCAAUACCCAACCAUAUAGGACCCCGCACUCAUCGUGGAAUGCGUGUUGUCACACCUCCUUUUUAUACACCUUACCCGGAGGGUAAAUGUAUAAGGGAGUUUUUCCAUUUAAAGUGACAUUAUUCGGAUCGGGAUUAUUUAUUUAUUCAGAGUUGCCAUUUGGGAAAGAUUUGGCUUUUAGUGCCCUAAGUCACCGGUUUAGCUUGAAUCCCAAUCCGUGGAAAAUGUUUCGACUUCCCAAUUGGAGUCUGCGAACCAGAAAUUCUGAAUAAGGAAUUCUGUUAACCCGACGGAAGGUGUUAGGCACCCUCGGAUCCUGUGGUUCUAGCACGGUCGCUUAAAUUAUUAUGAAUGGCUAAAAUCUGAUUUUUAUUACAUGAAAUACCUAUGUGCCAAUUUUAUCCGCUUCUAUUUAAUAUAAUAUUUAUUUAGAAAGUGAAUAUCGUUUAAAGUAUGCUUUCGGAUUGCGCCGCAUCAAAUGAACCCGCAAUCUUAGGCACACAAUAUUAACGUUUUAAGAUUUGGAUUUGGGCCGCAUCAAAUGUCCACCCAUAGUUAGGAAUAUAAUUUGUUAAAUCCGCGUCUAAUAGAGUUUAGCGCGUUAUUAUCUUUUGGUAGGGCCGUGAAAUUUGCUAAACGGCCCUUCCCCAUUUUCUAAACAUUUUUAAACCUUAUUGAGGGCCCUGCGAUUUCGCAUUUUAUUAAGCAAGGCUCGUCUCAUUUAUUUUAAAGGAUAGGCCUAAAGUGACUAUAUUUGCUAUUUUUCGUAUUUUUCUCUAAAAGAAAGGAAAAUCCUAAUUGAAUUAUUAUUAAAAUUUGGGCUUCAAGUUCAAGUUCGGAUUCAAACAAAAGGACAAACCUUUUAGUUUCAAACCCGUUACCUAACUCAAAGCCCGAAUUUAUAAACACUUGACUUAUUUUAAUAGUUAUCUGUGACCACCCUUAUUUUUCAUAUUCCUUUAACUAUAAUUCACUGAAAUUAAUGAAGUAGGAAAAGUCAAUCAAUACUAGGAGUCACUGUAAACUAAAGGAAACAAAUACUUACGAACUACUAAAUCCAAUCUUGUUCCAUUAUCAAUUCUUUGUAGCGCAAAAAAAAAAAUAUGGACCAGUACAAUGACUUUAUCUUGGAGCAUGUCAGUCCGAAUUAGCUCGACUCAAGCGUUAAUUUGCAAAUACACAACAGUCUCGGCAGUAUACAUUCCAGGUUUACUCUAUUUCUACUGUCUCCAUACAGUUAUGCAUAGUGUUAAAAUUAGCUAACGAAACCAACAAUUAAAGAAAGACUCAAUUCUUGUAGAAACUCCCUUGACUGAACCACUGUCCGUUUACUCCAAAUAAAAUGAAAGUAAUACCAUUCUAAUUUAUUUUUUUUAAAUAGCAGCUAAGAAACAAAACUAUUAUCAAACACAUUUUUAAUUUCACAAAUUUCUCAUUUGGUCCAGAAAGUGAUUGUAGAGAAUUUCGCGAUCUGAAGAACAAAUACUACACACUGAACUACAAUAUGGAUUCAUGGUUUGAUGUUGAAGCCUUCUUCUAAUUUUAUUUAACCCAAAAGUUCAAUGUCAGAUCCUGUUUCGCAUGAACAAAAUAGCUAAACUUCAACACAAAUAAUCAAUUGCCAUGCAAAUGAGGAACAGAUACCAAAACAGAUCCGAACAUGACAUUGAAUUCCAAAUACAUAUCAAUUUCAGCAAAUUACAGUGACCCUUUUAAACACUGUACCAUUUUUCAAUUGUUUGCCCAUAGUAAGACUGAGGGAACGAACAUACAUACCUCAAUAAACGAAAAAGAAAUCCGCAGACCAGCAGCACAACAACGAAAUUCAACACACAAAAACCAUGAACUCUACUUCCACAGCUUGCACAAACCAGAGAAAGAAGAAAUCGGGUCUUGAAAUCGAUUUUCGUCAAUGUUCCUUUUGAAAUUCAGAUUCUGCUUUCAUUUGUUUACCUCCAAGCUAUGGUGACUUUUCAUCUUCAUUUUUAAAUAGGGAUGUGUGCGAAGAGGAAGAGAACAGGGAACUGGAGGUUGAUUUUGGAGCAGAUUUUCGCUCCUCUUUCUCUCAGAAAUCGGAAGUGUAGCACCUCAGCUCUAUCUAUAAUUUUUUGAAGAAAUGAAGGUCUGUCCUUGAUUUUCAGGAAAUGAAAAGGAAGGAGAAGGAAGCUAUUUUGUUGAAUCCCGACGCAAGUACCCUUUUCUCUCCAUCUCCAGAAGAAGAAUCUCCAGGUCUGAUUUUUGUGUGUCCAUAUAGAUUUGAGUAUAGG